UAAAAAUAUGGCCUUGUAUGUGGAUUUUGGGAGGUGAUUACGGGACUUGUGAGUGACAUGUCUCUAGACUAGUGUGUAAUGAAGUGAUUUGUGUGUGUUGUGGAGCAGCAUGACACAUUGGUUAGAUUAAAACAAAUGUGCCAUGCUGUUCUCUCUUUUUUUUUUUACCUUACUAUGAUCAAAUAACAACCUAAAAUAACCAUUUAUUAGAAUACUAUAUGAGGCACAAAAGCCCAAACGUAAAUGUUAUUCAUUAAUGCCUUUUUAGUAAAGAAAAGAAGGGAGUUUUUUUAUCUGUAAUUUGUAAAGGAAAAAAGGUAGUUAAACAAAUUAAUGACAUUUAUUCAUUUUAAAUGUAAAUACAGGAAGUGCUCUAUUGUGAUGGAGAAGGGUUCAUCCAAACUUGUCUUAAAAACUCCAGAAUGUCACAGCAACAGAAGAAGAAAAUGAGGAAACCGAAUAAGACCAGCGAUGAAAAAGAAGAUGAAGCAGGUAUAGAUGAUGCACUAUUGGAAGAGACUGGUGCAAAGGAAAUGGUUGAAUGGAUGAAGCAUGCCAGCCCAACCAAAGAAAACUUACCAGCAAUAAGAGAAUACUUUCAGCGAACUUAUGAGUAUCGGCAGGCACAGGUCAAAGGGGAACUCUCUGUUAUCGAGCUCAUAGACCUGUAUCCAUGAUACGAGGAUUUAUCCAACUUGAUCAGUGUUGAAUUUGCACUUAUGUUUCCUGAGGAGUCUGGGAAUUUUCUGAAAAAAUGGGGGACUACCUUCAGGGAGAACAUCAUCACCUCUGCCAAGGAGGAUUAUGCUACAAUACAACAGGUCAUGAAAGAUGAAGUUUCUGACAGAAGGAACUGAUUUGAGGAUGACCACUGGAAACUGAGAAAAUGUUCAGCCAACCUUUCCUUUUGAAGAAGAGCAAGCGACACUACUUGGUGUUGGACCAAAAAGUCCUUGUGGCAGGUGAUAUACCUUUGUUGAUAGAUUUGACAGGCUCUUCAAAGCCCAUUACUGUUUCGAUGUCCACUUUGCCCAAGUUUUGGCACCAUUUUAUGGAUAUUUAGCAGCCUGCGUAUAUGGGGUGUUGCACCCAUCCAAGGUGAGACCUGCAGUGCGCUCAAUUGCAUCAGUUAUUAUGUCUGAUCAGUAAUCCGUACAAACUGAACCCUCUUCGUGUUAGACCAAAAUGUUAUACUUUGAUCAUCACUAAAUAGGCAGGCCAAUUCACAUCGUGAAUUGAUAUAGAAAAGUACUGAACACAGCAGAACUGCAGCAGACGCAGCUUCUGUCUUACAUUUGACACGCGCAUCCGUAUCUAUGAUGUGCGUGUGAGUGGGAUUACCUUGCGCGCAGAUGAAGAAAAGCCUUACAUUUCCUGCCUGUUUAGUGAUAAUCAAAGUUGAGUGGCAGGUGAUGGCUGUGUCAAAUUAUUUGACAGGCUAUUAGAAGCCCAUUUUGUUGUUUUAAAGGGAUGGUCUGGGUUAAAAAUAUUUAUACAUGUAUCUGAAUA